GCCUGGCUGGCUCAGUCAGGAGAGCGUGUGGCUUUUGAUCUCAGGGUCAUGAGUUUGAGCCCCAUGUUAGGCA
rnacentral:tRNA from 1 species